CAGCCGUUCAUCCUCAACGAGAAUUCCUUGAGAAUGUCGCCGGUGCGGUGAAGAGUGGCACACUAGACUUAGGAAAUUGGGUAGACCGGGAGCUGUCCGGGAGGCAGGGGGAAGGCGACCGCGGCUGGGCGGCGGCGGGGGAAGGCGUUGCGGUCACCGCGAGGGGGUGUUCAACCAGGAGCGGCGGCCUGCUCCAACAUGCGGAGGCCGGUAGGAGCACGACGAGGAGGCCGCUCUCGCCGAGGUAAGUGUUGGCAGCCCGGCGCGAGGUGGCGACUGGGCAGACGAGGAUAGGUCCAGUGGCAGACGACCGGCGAGGGAAGCCUAGGAUCCGAGCGGGAGAGGCCUAGUUUCCAUGAUCACUCGAAAGCGGUACAGCUCCGACGCCCGCGAGACCGUUCGAAGGCACUUGCGAUGGUUCGCUCGACAACAUACCUUAAGUCUUCUAAAUAAAGGUGGUUCACUUUCUAUGUAGAAGUUAAAGUUAAGUUUUCUACUCCACUUCUUCACCGUGAACAUGAGCCUAAGUCUCAUACCUCCAAAUAGUAGGCGUAGUGACCUCUAUUGACUAUCACAAAGACCACCUCUAUGAAGUAGUUGUCCACAGAAAAGACCGUUGGAGAGGAACCUAUACAGGCUCCCUAGUGGUACCUCCUAGUCCGCCUCACCAAAGACGCCUUACGCUAGUUUCUUCAAACUACCAAUGUAGCUAGAACUAAGCAUACUAUGUUAUCGUUACUUCGAGUCUCCCCUACCUUCUUGGAUGUAUAGAUGAUAUAUGUGUCUCUUGACCCACUUAAGUGGACCUGUUCUCCUUCUAUUGAGCACCGUCCGAAAGCACAUGCAUGGAGUCCCAUCGACCGCCUAGAACUUCUAGGGAGAGCUAUCGAUAAAUGGAUGUACCUUUCCUUUGCACUAGCUUCGCUUGUACCUUUACUUAGGAAGAGCGCAGCACCCUUACAGAGAGAGCAAUUUACGUCUUCCGCCGCAAGGACCACGAUUCUGACCCGGUCCGCUAAAAUCUAAUCUGCAACUAACCUAGUUCCGCUACUCCAGGGACACUAAGGGCGUCAAACAAGAAGGCCGAAAGUGUUCUAUCUCCGGAUUUUAAGGUUGCUCGUAAAAGGAAGGUCAAACUAACGACUCGAGGAAUUGUUUUCUCUUAGAGUAAGAGAUACGUCGAAGAAACAGGAUGCCGCUAUCUACUCACAGUAGUUAUUGUUGCCGGUACCUUAAAAAACCACGAUGCAAGACGUAUUUGACAACGGUCAAAGACACUUCGGAUCAACUACAAAAAA
rnacentral:rRNA from 1 species